rnacentral:rRNA from 1 species
CCUACGGGGGACAGCAGUGAGGAAUAUUGGUCAAUGGACGAGAGUCUGAACCAGCCAAGUAGCGUGAAGGAUGACUGCCCUAUGGGUUGUAAACUUCUUUUAUAUGGGAAUAAAAUGUUCCACGUGUGGGAUUUUGUAUGUACCAUAUGAAUAAGGAUCGGCUAACUCCGUGCCAGCAGCCGCGGUAAUACGGAGGAUCCGAGCGUUAUCCGGAUUUAUUGGGUUUAAAGGGAGCGUAGGUGGAUUGUUAAGUCAGUUGUGAAAGUUUGCGGCUCAACCGUAAAAUUGCAGUUGAAACUGGCAGUCUUGAGUACAGUAGAGGUGGGCGGAAUUCGUGGUGUAGCGGUGAAAUGCUUAGAUAUCACGAAGAACUCCGAUUGCGAAGGCAGUUCACUGGACUGCAACUGAUACUGAGGCUCGAAAGUGUGGGUAUCAAACAGGAUUAGAUACCCUAGUAGUC